GAUGAACGCUAGCUACAGGCUUAACACAUGCAAGUCGAGGGGCAUCAGGAAGAAAGCUUGCUUUCUUUGCUGGCGACCGGCGCACGGGUGAGUAACAGGUAUCCAACCUGCCCUUUACUCGGGGAUAGCCUUUCGAAAGAAAGAUUAAUACCCGAUAGCAUAAUGAUUCCGCAUGGUUUCAUUAUUAAAGGAUUCCGGUAAAGGAUGGGGAUGCGUUCCAUUAGAUAGUAGGCGGGGUAACGGCCCACCUAGUCUACGAUGUCUAGGGGUUCUGAGAGGAAGGUCCCCACACUGGAACUGAGACACGGUCCAG
rnacentral:rRNA from 1 species